UGGGGAAUAUUGCACAAUGGGCGCAAGCCUGAUGCAGCCAUGCCGCGUGUGUGAAGAAGGCCUUCGGGUUGUAAAGCACUUUCGGCGAGGAGGAAGGUGGUGAGCUUAAUACGCUCAUCAAUUGACGUUACUCGCAGAAGAAGCACCGGCUAACUCCGUGCCAGCAGCCGCGGUAAUACGGAGGGUGCAAGCGUUAAUCGGAAUUACUGGGCGUAAAGCGCACGCAGGCGGUUUGUUAAGUCAGAUGUGAAAUCCCCGGGCUCAACCUGGGAACUGCAUUUGAAACUGGCAAGCUAGAGUCUCGUAGAGGGGGGUAGAAUUCCAGGUGUAGCGGUGAAAUGCGUAGAGAUCUGGAGGAAUACCGGUGGCGAAGGCGGCCCCCUGGACGAAGACUGACGCUCAGGUGCGAAAGGCGUGGGGCAGCAAACAGGAUUAGAUACCCUGGUAGUCCACGCUGUAAAACGAUGUCGAUUUUGGAGGUUGUGCCCUUGAGGCGUGGCUUCCGGAGCUAACGCGUUAAAUCGACCGCCUGGGGAGUACGGCCGCAAGGUUAAAACUCAAAGG
rnacentral:rRNA from 1 species